rnacentral:rRNA from 1 species
GACAGAGGGUGCAAACGUUGUUCGGAUUUACUGGGCGUAAAGCGCGUGUAGGCGGCUUUGCAAGUCGGAUGUGAAGGCCCACGGCUCAACCGUGGAAGUGCAUCCGAAACUGCAUGGCUCGAGUCUCGGAGAGGAAGGUGGAAUGCUUGGUGUAGAGGUGAAAUUCGUAGAUAUCAAGCAGAACACCUGCGGCGAAGGCGGCCUUCUGGACGAUGACUGACGCUGAGACGCGAAAGCGUGGGGAGCAAACAGG